GGAACUGAGACACGGUCCGGACUCCUACGGGAGGCAGCAGUGGGGAAUAUUGGACAAUGGGGGCAACCCUGAUCCAGCCAUGCCGCGUGUGUGAAGAAGGCCCUUUUGGUUGUAAAAGCACUUUAAGCAGGGAGGAGAGGCUAAUGGUUAAUACCCCAUUAGAUUAGACGUUACCUGCCAGAAUAAGCACCGGCCUAACUCUGUGCCAGCAGCCGCGGUAA
rnacentral:rRNA from 1 species